UCUUGGUCAUUUAGAGGAAGUAAAAGUCGUAACAAGGUUUCCGUAGGUGAACCUGCGGAAGGAUCAUUAAUACAUGUUGAGCGCACUUUAAUGUGACUCUUUGUAUAACUAUUACCACCCCACCCAGAGGUGCAUUGUGGCCUUUGACGAGGUUAGCAGUGUAUCAGUACGUAUCCCAAAGGCAACUUUGAGUUACAUUACCCAUCAUUUACCCCCAUUUACACUUAAUAAGUUUUAAGAAUGAUACCUAUAAUUAUAUAACUUUCAGCAAUGGAUCUCUAGGCUCUCACAUCGAUGAAGAACACAGUAAAACCUGUUUGAGUGUCACGAAACCCCCCUCGGCUCUUAAUGAAAGAGACGGAUUCUGAGUGUUGGCGUGCAAAUGCCUCGCUUUAAAUAGAUCAGCACUUUUGGAUGGUUGAAUAUUAGUUCAAAAGACGUACUUGAUGUUGUAUUUAUAUGUCAUUGAGGCAGUCUUUGGUCGUUACGACUAUCCGCUAAUACGAAAACUUGAAGAAUAGCUUCCUAACUAGAUUUAACCUUUAGACUUCAAAUCAGGUGGGACUACCCGCUGAACUUAAGCAUAUCAAUAAGCGGAGGAAAAGAAAAUAACUAUGAUUCCCUUAGUAAUGGCGAGUGAACAGGGAAAAGCCCAAAUUUGUAAUCUGGCACUUUUUACAAGUGUCCGAGUUGUAAUUUGUAGAACUGUUAUCCGUGCUGGACCAUGUA
rnacentral:rRNA from 1 species